rnacentral:rRNA from 1 species
UACAGGGGUCUCAAGCGUUGUUCGGAUUCAUUGGGCGUAAAGGGCGCGUAGGCGGCGCGGUAAGUCGGGUGUGAAAUCUCGGAGCUUAACUCCGAAACUGCAUUCGAUACUGCCGUGCUUGAGGACUGGAGAGGAGACUGGAAUUUACGGUGUAGCAGUGAAAUGCGUAGAGAUCGUAAGGAAGACCAGUGGCGAAGGCGGGUCUCUGGACAGUUCCUGACACUGAGGCACGAAGGCCAGGGGAGCAAACGGG